rnacentral:lncRNA from 1 species
AGGAUGACCUAGCUUAAUUUGAAGAGACAGUAACUUGCUGGCAUCUGGCUACUGAAAAGAACAAAACGGUUGACCUCCUAGUAGUGCCAGGGACUAUCUUAAAAGCAACAAUGAUCAAUGGGUCAGAAGUUAUUAAAAUAAAGAGACAAAGAAGAGGGACAUUAUGAAGUUAAAAUGGCAAGAUGUCAUGAUUGGUUGCUUUAGAAAUGGGGCAGAAUGAAUGAAAAUGGAUGCGAAUAUUUCUCACCCAGGUAACGGUCAACAUGAUAGCCACAUAUGGAAGGGGCGUGGAGAAGAAAGGACAGGGGAAAAAGAAGAAAGCAUCAGAUUCCUUGCCAGAGGAAAAAAAUGCCAUCCUUGAAGGCAGCUAUAGAAUCAUCAUCAUAUGGAAUUCUAGAUACAGGCCUACAAAAAUGUUUAUACUUGUAUUCAAAGAUCUAGAGGAAAAAGGUUUAAUCGACUCACAGUUCAGCCUGGCUGGGGAGGCCCCAGGAAACUUACAAUUAUGGCAAAAGGUGAAGGAGGCCCGAGGAAACUUACAGCUGUGGCAAAAGGUGAAGCAAACAUCCUUCUUCACAUGGUGGCAGAAAGGAGAAGAAUGAGCAAAAUGGGGAAAAGCCCCUUAUAAAAUCAUCAGAUCUCGUGAGAACUCACUCACUAUCAUGAGAACAACAUGGAGGUAACCGCCCCUGUGAUUCAGUGACAUCCCACCGGGUCCCUCCCACAACAUGUAGGAAUUACGGGAACUACAAUUCAAGUAUUCUUCCUUGGAUGAAAGGACUAGGAGAAAGCCCUGCAACCCCACGAGUCCGCCCGUUUGUUGAAAUCAGUUCAAGAUCAUCCAGGUCUGCAAAACUCGGCUGAAGCAGCUUGUUGCAUAAUUUACCAGAGAAAAGAGGGCCAUCUGGAGAGCCAAUCUGGAGAACUCGAGCAAAGGCCUUCUGACCAAGAAUAUCCAGAGACAAGGUCGAAGAAUCUGAACUUUUAAAGGCCGCUUAGGAACAUCUGAUUAUCAGCAAGUCUUGGGAACCACUGAUAAUACAACCCGCCCCCCCCCCCCACUCAGUGCAGAAUGCUUCCCAACAAGGUCUCUAAAUGCUUCUUCCAAAGCAUGUUUGGGUUUGGAGAUUCAGCUCAAAUGCUCUGACACAGACUGUCCUAAACUGGUAUCAUCCCAGCCUGUGACAGAAAUUGAAAAACAAGUAAUACUUCGUGCUCUAAAA